UACGGGGGGCGCAAGCGUUGUUCGGAUUUACUGGGCGUAAAGGGCGCGUAGGCGGUCAGCACAAGUCAGUUGUGAAAUCUCCGGGCUUAACUCGGAAAGGUCAACUGAUACUGUGCGACUAGAGUGCAGAAGGGGCAACUGGAAUUCUCGGUGUAGCGGUGAAAUGCGUAGAUAUCGAGAGGAACACCUGCGGCGAAGGCGGGUUGCUGGGCUGACACUGACGCUGAGGCGCGAAAGCCAGGGGAGCGAACGGG
rnacentral:rRNA from 1 species